ACACCGGCGCCCCGAGUGGGAGCCGCGAUUAUUGGGCCUAAAGCGUCCGUAGCCGGCCCAGUAAAUGCCCUGUGAAAUCCUCCAGCUUAACUGGAGGGGGUGCAGGGUAGACUGCUGGGCUAGGGACCGGGAGGCGCCAGGAGUAUUCCCGGGGUACCGGUAAAAUGGGAUAAUCCCGGGAGGACUACCGGUGGCGAAGGCGCCUGGCGAGAACGGGUCCGACGGUGAGGGACGAAAGCUGGCGGAGCAAAGGGGAUUAGAAACCCUAGUAGUCC
rnacentral:rRNA from 1 species